UAAGUUUUGUUAAAUCUGAGUAAGAAGACCCGUUUGUUUCCUCAAAUUGCUUAUAAUCUAGGUGAGGACACAUCUGAGAGAAUAACUAAUAGUUCAGUGAAGUUAAAAAACAACAACAACAACAAAAAAAAAACCCACAAAACCCUGAGGCUCAGAAGAUAAAUAUUUGCUGAAGAUCACUGUGCUUAUUAGAAGGGUGUUACUGAUUCUUACCUCAGAGAAGAGAAUGUCAUGGAGACAAAAUGACCUGCUUAGAGUUCUGCGCCCCCCAGCAUGGAGAGCAGAGCGCAAAGAUUUCCUCCAGACUCCCACAUUCUCCCUUGGAAUCCAAGAACUUGUCUACUAUCACAACACUUUAGUACCCACUUCUCCUAAGGAGGCAGCAGAAACCAAGGUAAUCACAAUGGUCAACAGCAGCGAAGGCAGCACUUUCUGAUUUUAAACUUGACUGCUAUGGAUGCCACCUCAGUUUAAUAUCUGUAAGUUUGGGCAGCACUGCCGUCAGUGAAUCAGCUCUAUCUGUGCAGUGGGCAAGAAGGACCCACUGGGUGACCACAAUAUGGCACUUCGGUAUGUUGGUUAUUUUAAGUUAGAGGCCUUUGAUGCUGGAAGAAACUUUACUCUGGUAUCUUCUUAUCUACCACAAGACUGGAUCUGCCAAAGAGAACACAAUUGCCUUCCAUUCCCUUCCUGAAAUCUCAUUAUCUAUGGCAGAAAAGAAGACUGGGGAAUGUAAUACAAAGUAUUACACAGUAAUGUACCGUACUACACAGUAUUUACACAAAACAUAUAACACAGAAUGUACUACACAGUAUUUUCACAAAACAAUAUCUGUCUCUCCAACUCAUUCGAAUUCUAAAGAGUCAUUUACAGGUUAA
rnacentral:antisense_RNA from 1 species